UGGGGUUGGGCCCUGGAGGGCCAGCCUGCCUUUCCUCCUACUCCUUCCGUAGGAAGCUGCUAUGUAAAGUAUGUUUUAUUAUAGUUGCUUAUAAA